rnacentral:rRNA from 1 species
CGAACGGGUGAGUAAUACAUCGGAACGUGUCGAGAAGAGGGGAUAACCACCCGAAAGGGUGGCUAAUACCGCAUAAAUUCUGAGGAAGAAAGCUGGGGACCUAGGAAUAGGCCUAGCGCUUUUUGAGCGGCCGAUGUCGGAUUAGCUAGUUGGUGAGGUAAAGGCUCACCAAGGCGAAGAUCUGUAGCGGGUCUGAGAGGAUGAUCCGCCACACUGGGACUGAGACACGGCCCAG